CCGUCGAUAGCUCAGUUGGUAGAGCGGUGGACCGUAGAUCCAUAGGUCGCUGGUUCAAAUCCGCCUCGACGGA
rnacentral:tRNA from 1 species